CCUACGGGUGGCAGCAGUGGGGAAUAUUGGACAAUGGGCGAAAGCCUGAUCCAGCGACGCCGCGUGGGUGAAGAAGGCCUGCGGGUUGUAAAGCCCUUUCAGUGGGGAAGCGUAACCCAUAGAAGAAGCACCGGCUAACUCUGUGCCAGCAGCCGCGGUAAUACAGAGGGUGCGAGCGUUAAUCGGAAUUACUGGGCGUAAAGCGCGCGUAGGCGGCUUUGCAAGUCGGGUGUGAAAUCCCCAGGCUCAACCUGGGAACUGCAUUCGAGACUGCAUUGCUAGAGUAUGGGAGAGGGAAGUGGAAUUCCGGUGUAGCGGUGAAAUGCGUAGAUAUCGGAAGGAACAUCAGUGGCGAAAGCGACUUCCUGGACCAUCUGACGCUCAUGUGCGAAAGCGUGGGGAGCAAACAGGAUUAGAUACCCUUGUAGUC
rnacentral:rRNA from 1 species